GGCGUUAUAGCAUAAGGCUUUGCAGUAGUUUGCAAAACUAUAGGGUAUAGGUUCAAUUCCUAUUGGCGCUU
rnacentral:tRNA from 1 species